rnacentral:rRNA from 1 species
UACGUAGGGGGCAAGCGUUGUCCGGAAUCAUUGGGCGUAAAGAGCGUGUAGGCGGCCAGAUAAGUCCGCUGUGAAAACUCGAGGCUCAACUUCGAGCUGUCGGCGGAAACUAUCUGGCUAGAGUCCGGAAGAGGAGAGUGGAAUUCCUGGUGUAGCGGUGAAAUGCGCAGAUAUCAGGAGGAACACCAAUAGCGAAGGCAGCUUGCUGGGACGGUACUGACGCUAAGGCGCGAAAGCGUGGGGAGCGAACAGG